GUGCGCGGCGCGGAGCAGCUGUUCUUCGUGCCCGCGCUGGGUCUUACUGCCCCUAAAAUGGCCCCGCCGAAGUUUUAACACAGUCAGCGGGGGCCGGCGCCGGGACUUGCGCCGCCUCAUUAGCAUUUAAAGGGGCCGCACUGAGCUCGCGGCUGCACCGAGUGAGAGGGGGGACGGCGUGGGGAUCGGUCACGGUGAGACAAACCCGCUUCUGUGCUCUGGCGGCGGUGCCUGUGAAUGCGCCUCUGCCCCGUGCUCUGUAUGGCGGAUCAGUUCGUUCUGGACCCGAGUUCGCGUGCGCUCCGUUGGAGACAAACGUCUAGAGAUGAGGUUACUGAUUCUUCCAGUGUUCCAUGUGGGCUUCUCAGGGAAUUGCAAUCCAUGUUUUGGAUCCCCCAGUUUUGGAAAAUAAACACAUUCAAGGCUGAAGAACUGACUUCAAAAUGGAAAACAUUCAUCUUCCCAGGUCUAGUUGGAAAUUGUUCAUAUAUACAUCAUGGAGUCCAUGAACAAAAGGGACAAGGGGUAAGAGAAUGUGUGAAAAGCCAGAAAAAUCAGGAGAGCAGGAAUGAGUGUCACUUAAGGCUCCAGGAUAUUCCUGAAGUAAAAGGUGGUUUAGCACUAUUGAAGGACUCUGACUUAACUGAAGCUACAACAUUUGGGAAAAGAAUGGAAAGAAAAAAUGAACUACUGCUCCAAGACAGAACCAACGUACUGUGA
rnacentral:lncRNA from 1 species